AGCGGUGCAGCCCCGCGGGGCGGCCGCCGGCGGCCCCGGGCAGGCACCGGCUGGUCGGUACCGGCCUGCCGGGCGCUGCGCCUGGCCACCGGCGUUGAGCGGUGGCGGAUGCGGCCCUGCCGAGGCCUGGGGCGCACCCCGUUGCCCGCCCGCCCGCCCGCCCCGCCUCUGCCCCCUGGACCCGGCGUCGGUGCUGCUUGCCGCAGGCGCCGGGCGUUGAGGUUCCCGCCCGCCGGUGCGCGUGUUACUGAAGCCAAGACCAUUCAAGGCCACGGGCUGGUCCACUGUAGCUAAUGAAAUGGCUGGUACUACGUCUACUGAACGUUGGGACUUAGGGGCCUCCAUUUCUCUCUGUGCUGGUUUUACAAGACCAGAGUGUCCGGAUUGUGUUUCCUCCACUUUCCUGCUUCCUUUAGCCCCCAGUCUUGCUCCCAAGUUCCCAAGCUUCACUUGCCCCAGCAGGUGAUGUCCAUCCAUCCCAGUCCCAGUGCCGCUCAGAGCAGCUGGUGCACAUCAGCAGGUAUGCAUGCCUGUUGGAAAUCCUGCUUGAGUGUUAAUGCUAGUGCCUCCAUUAAAACGAGUGAUAAAUGCUGACAGCCUAGCCCUGUGUCUGUGGACCUGCAUUUUUGGGUAGCACUACUGCAAAGUGUGA